rnacentral:rRNA from 1 species
CCUACGGGUGGCAGCAGUGAGGAAUAUUGGUCAAUGGGCGCGAGCCUGAACCAGCAAAGUAGCGUGAAGGAUGAAUGCCCUACGGGUUGUAAACUUCUUUUAUAAAGGAAUAAAGUGAGGCACGUGUGUCUUUUUGUAUGUACUUUAUGAAUCAGGAUCGGCUAACUCCGUGCCAGCAGCCGCGGUAAUACGGAGGAUCCGAGCGUUAUCCGGAUUUAUUGGGCGUAAAGCGCUCGUAGGCGGUAUGUCAAGUCAAGGGUGAAAUCCCCGCGCUCAACGUGGGCACUGCCUUGGAAACUGGCAGACUUGAGUGUGUGAGAGGAUAGUGGAAUUCCAGGUGUAGGAGUGAAAUCCGUAGAUAUCUGGAGGAACAUCAGUGGCGAAGGCGACUAUCUGGCACAUAACUGACGCUGAGGAGCGAAAGCGUGGGUAGCAAACAGGAUUAGAUACCCGUGUAGUC